CAGUAGCCACGGUAAUACAGAGGGUGCGAGCGUUAAUUGGAUUUACUGGGCGUAAAGCGUGCGUAGGCGGCUUUUUAAGUCGGAUGUGAAAUCCCUGAGCUUAACUUAGGAAUUGCAUUCGAUACUGGGAAGCUAGAGUAUGGGAGAGGAUGGUAGAAUUCCAGGUGUAGCGGUGAAAUGCGUAGAGAUCUGGAGGAAUACCGAUGGCGAAGGCAGCCAUCUGGCCUAAUACUGACGCUGAGGUACGAAAGCAUGGGGAGCAAACAGGAUUAGAUACCCCAGUAGUCCCUGUCUUUAUACA
rnacentral:rRNA from 1 species